UGGUGUUACAUCAGUAAAUUCGAGGCGAAAGCUGCAAUAUUAUGAUCAUUUCAUUCUUGCUUCUCAGGCCGAUCAGGUUUGUUAUAUCAAGUACCCCCGGGUAAGGAACAGAGAUGAUCCAUGGGUUACUGUUACAAAACUCAACCCGAGAGGCCAAGUUCAGGGAAGUUCUGAGCUGGAAGACCCACUACAACAAAGCACAUCCGACAACUUAAGUGCAGCAGAAGAUUUAGCUGGAGUUGGCCUUGUACUGGAUUUAACCGACUUCGGGGAGGAAGGCGCCGUUCACGUAGAGGAUGAACCAGUGAUCGGAGAGUUUCACCAAGAUCAAGAUUCAGCUUCAUCUGGUGAUGAUGACUCGGAAACAGACUAGCAUCGACUUUUUUUUUUUUUAAUAGAAAUACCGAGGAAAUUCCAAGGGAAGAUAGGUUUUCCUCGGAAUUUCCUCGGAAUAGACCUUGUCGAUUAAGGGAUUUGAUUAUAGAGUAUUUUUCCUCGGAAUUUCCUUGGAAUAUUCUGACGGAAUUCUGAGGAAGAUAAGGGUUUCCUCGGAAAUUCCAUUAUUUCCUCGGAAAUCCCGCGGAAUAUUCCGAGGAAAUUCCGAGGAACUAGGGGUUUUUAACCGAAAAUAACGUUUUGCAGAUUGAAUUACACUUAUACAACCUUCAUUAAGUGUCUUAACCAGAUUAUGAAGUCAAACUUUGGUGUUUUACGCAAUAACAAACACUUUUACGAUUGCAUGAAAGAAAACCACACAACAUAAGAGAAACACUUAUACACUUUAAUAAACGU